AUGCAAAGGCCGAGUUAUUUAUAGAAUACUUUGUAGCAGGUAUAGGUUGGCAAGAUAUAUAAAUAUAAUGUCUGCAAUUGCACUUUAUAAGCAUUAUAUAGAUAGAAUUCAGUGUGAUUGGACCGGAUUAGGAUCAUAAUGUGUCAUAUUUAUUAAUGGAUAUAAAGUAGCCCCUUGGUAUUGUUAUAAUAAUGUAAAUAAUUGAAUCUUAAAUAGUGAUUGUACUGUCACUGCACUUACUCUGUUCAGUGUAUAGAAAGUAUAUACAAUAAUUACGUUUCGAGUUUGCAAAAUAUUCUCACAUUUAAAUGUAAUUCGUUUUCUGACUAUUAGCUUGUCGUCAUUUUAUUAAUCUCCAAGAUAUUUGCAAAACAUCCAUAGUUAUGUCAAAACCUGAUGCACCUAAGUUUGUGACAGCACUCUUUUCCUUUAAGGGAAAGAAUAACGAUGAAUUGUGCUUUAAGAAAGGUGAUAUAAUAACGAUAACUCAAACGGACGAUGAAGGUUGGUGGGAGGGUACGUUGCACGAUAAAACUGGAUGGUUUCCAUCCAACUACGUCAAGGAGCAUAGAGUACCAGACAAUGGACUUUCUUCCGUUAAAGUACCCUCGGAGAAAGGUCUACCAGAAUCACCUGUUCAUCAGAAACUUAAUCGCGAUAUAGUAAUAAAAGACAUCGUGGAUUCCGAAAGAAUUAACGUAGCGGAAUUGCAAGGCUUAGUUACUAAUUUUUUGCAACCUCUAGAAUCAUCAAAUAUAUUAAAAAAGGAAGAGUACAAACAGUUAUUAGGUAAUAUACAUGAAGUUUUGGAAAUGCAUCAGCGUCUUCUUACAAAUUUGGAAGCUACCAUUCUACAAGGUAUAGCUGGUAGAAUAGGAAAUUUGUUUUUAACGCUUGCUCCAAGAUUAAAAUCUAUUCAUACCGCGUAUUGUAACAAUCAUCCGCAAGCGGUCUGCAUUCUGGAUAGAUACAGAGACGAAUUGAAUGAAUUUAUGGAAGAUAGCGGUGCGAUUUCUCCAGGAAUAUUAGUUUUAACGACUGGUCUUAGUAAACCAUUUAGAAGAUUAGACAAGUAUUCCGCCAUGCUACAAGAAUUAGAAAGGUAUACAGAAAAAAAUCAUCCUGAUAGAGGAGACACGCAACGAAGCAUAGCGGUUUAUAGAGAAAUAGCGGAUUCUUGUUCUUCGAUACGUAAACAGCGUGAAUUAGCACUACAGGUAUUAACUAGUGGCAUUAAAGGUUGGGAAGGAGAAGAAUUAAGUUCUCUCGGUGAAAUCCUUCACGUUGGAUCUGUGACUCUGGCGACAGGAGUCGAUAGAAGGGACAGAUAUUUCGUCCUCUUUCCCUCUACGUUGUUAGUAUUGAGUACCAGUCCAAGAAUGAGUUCUUUCAUUUAUGAGGGAAAACUUCCGCUGACAGGCAUUAAUGUUACGGCAACAGAGGAUACCGAUGAGAUAAGGAAUGCUUUUGAAAUAACGGGACCAAUGAUCGAAAAUAUAACAGUAUUGUGUGCAAGUAAAGAAGAAAGGCAACGUUGGAUUGAGCUUCUAGUCCAAGAGCAGGGUACCAAUGUGUUGAAAUCACCAACGAUGCCUCGAGUGAGUUAUAAUCAUCCUCCGUAUACGCGGCUCUCGAGAUACUUUGCAAAGCUCGUGAGGAAAAAGAUUAUAGAAGUCGAAUUAAUGAAAAAGCUGCUUUAUAUACAAUAUGUCCUAAAGCCGGAUUUAAGUAACGUAAAGAUGCGCAGAUGUAACGUAACAUAUACUAUUUUUCCUAACAAAAGUAGCGAAUGUAUCUCCGAUUGUGAAACUAUUAUCGAUAAUGAAAAUAUUCAAGAUCCGCCAAAAAUACUUCGUAAAUCUACUUUAACGCUCGAUGUCAGAUACGAGGUUAGGAAUACAGAUCUCCGUACCUUUGGUGUAGAAAGUAAUUCUCUCACGAACUUCGCAUCGAGGGCCGCUUACGGGGAUCGUUCUACGUUUGAAACCAGCAAGAGUUUACCAGCUGGUCGUACAACGAGCCACGUCCUGCCAAAUAUAUUACUUUCUACAAGUAAUUCUGCAGUGCCAAUUUUACUACCGCGAACGCACGAUCAUUAUCGAGAAAAUUUAGAUAUACCACGCGAACAUAUGCCUUGUGGUGGUACGAUAAAAUGUUGGGACGUUGUCGAGCUUUAUCCGAAAAUACCAGACAUCUCAAAACUCACUGUUCAAGAUCCUGUAACACGCGUAAACAAAGCCGAUAAUGGAAAUCUAAGAAACGAUCAACACUUAUGUCCUACUACCAGUUUGCAUUCGUCAGAUUCUGGAAUGGCUGAAAGUUAUCACUUAAACUCGACAGAGCUUAGUUCCUGUUACAAGUCUCAAAGAUGCAGUCAUAGUAAAUACAUAGAUCCAGUAAGAACAUCUCACAGUGAAAGCGAAAUCGAUGAAAAUAAGUUUGAACAUCAAUGCAUUUGUACUUCCCCGUUUGGUUCUACGCCGAGAGAUAGCGAACGUUCAUUCCCUUCGUCAGAAAAUAUUAAUAAGAUGUCGCAUUUGGUUAAGCCUUCUUCCAGCUAUAUCAAAAAAGAUAUAAAAGAUGCAUUUGAUGAUGCGAAGGAAGAAACGGAGAAGAACAUUGUAGUUCUUACGACAAGAGAUUAUGAAAAUAUUAAGCAGAAAAGGUUUACAGAACCAAUUCCACAUUUACAUCAAAGUAAUGCUAAAAGAAGGGGAAAACGAACGGUCCGUCCGGUACAACCAACUAUCGAAGAACAACCUGAACAAACGGGUCAAGUUUAUAGAUCUGGAUUAUAUGCUCAUUGGUGGCUCAAGAAAACAAUUCCAUUGUCAGGAUGCACAGAACGAGAUGAACAGUCAAAUGAACGGGAAACGCCAGCGGUCGGCAGCGGAUCAUUGUUUAUCUCCAGGGAUUAAGACUCCUUGGAGUAUCGCUUCGUUACGUCCAGCCCCACCUUUAUAUACACUCAAGACAUUUGAUGAACGUCAAUUUGAAGAAGAUGCAAUUAUU